rnacentral:rRNA from 1 species
CCUACGGGAGGCAGCAGUGGGGAAUAUUGGGCAAUGGGCGCAAGCCUUACCCAGCAAUACCGCGUGAGUGAAGAAGGUCUUCGGAUUGUAAAGCUCUUUGAUCAGGGACGAACAGAUGACGGUACCUGAAGAACAAGCCCCGGCUCACUACGUGCCAGCAGCCGCUGUAACACGUAAGGGGCGAGCGUUUUCCCGAAUGUAUGGGCGUAAAGGGUGCGUAGGCGGGACAGUAAGUUAGAAGGGAAAUACCCAGGGCUUAACCCGGGUGCUGCUUCUAAGACUGUUGAGCUUGAGUGCAGGGGAGGUUAAUGGAAUUCCUAGUGUAGCGGUGGAAUGCGUAGAUAUUAGGAGGAACACCAGAGGCGAAGGCGAUUAACUGGACCGUAACUGACGCUGAGGCACGAAAGUGUGGGUAGCAAACAGGAUUAGAUACCCUUGUAGUC